CCUACGGUCUGAUGUGGACUUAGUUUGGUAGCGUUGGAGUUGGCGCUUUGUGUGGUGGAGUUAGCCAUCGUGUGUAGCUCUUGUGAGCUUUGUGUGUGCUUGGGUGAUCAAGCGUUUUGGUGUGUCCGUUGAGGUGUGGUGACCAAGUUAUGCGUUGGUGUGAUGUGCUCGUUGGUAUAUGUGGUGUGCGUCUGGUGUUGACUUACUCGGUGACGUACUUGGUGAAGUACUCGGUGACGUACUUGGUGAAGUACAUGGUGAUGUACCUUCAGAGACUUGGAGGUUGAAG
rnacentral:lncRNA from 1 species